GAUGAACGCUGGCGGCGUGCCUAAUACAUGCAAGUCGAGCGAAGCGGGGACGGGUGAGUAACAAGUGGAAAACCUCCUAUGAGAAUGGGAUACCUUCGGAAAACCGGAGCUAUACGGGAAACUUAUAGAUGGAUCCGGGCUGGAUUAGCUGAUUGGUAAUGUAACGGCUUACAAAGGCAACGAUGCAUAGCCGACCUGAGAGGGUGACCGGCCACACUGGAACGGAGACACGGUCCAGACUCCUACGGGAGGCAGCAGUGGGGAAUCUUCCGCAAUGGGCGAAAGCCUGACGGAGCAACGCCGCGUGAGUGAUGAAGGUCUUCGGAUCGUAAAACUCUGUUAGUAGGGAAGCGUUACCUAAUCAGAAAGCAACGGCUAACUACGUGCCAGCAGCCGCGGUAAUUC
rnacentral:rRNA from 1 species